GAUGAACGCUGGCGGCGUGCCUAAUACAUGCAAGUCGAGCGAACAGACGAGGAGCUUGCUCCUCUGACGUUAGCGGCGGACGGGUGAGUAACACGUGGAUAACCUACCUAUAAGACUGGGAUAACUUCGGGAAACCGGAGCUAAUACCGGAUAACAUGUUGAACCGCAUGGUUCAACAGUGAAAGACGGUCUUGCUGUCACUUAUAGAUGGAUCCGCGCCGCAUUAGCUAGUUGGUAAGGUAACGGCUUACCAAGGCAACGAUGCGUAGCCGACCUGAGAGGGUAUCGGCACACUGGAACUGAGACACGGUCCAGACUCCUACGGGAGGCAGCAGUAGGGAAUCUUCCGCAAUGGGCGAAAGCCUGACGGAGCAACGCCGCGGGAGUGAAGAAGGUCUUCGGAUCGUAAAACUCUGUUAUUAGGGAAGAACAAAUGUGUAAGUAACUAUGCACGUCUUGACGGUACCUAAUCAGAAAGCCACGGCUAACUACGU
rnacentral:rRNA from 1 species